rnacentral:rRNA from 1 species
AGAGUUUGAUCCUGGCUUAGGAUUAACGCUGGCGGCGUGCCUAAUACAUGCAAGUCGAAUGGUAGUAGCAAUACAAACCAUGGCGAACGGGUGAGUAACACGUAGGUAACCUGUCUUUAAGACGAGGAUAACCAUUGGAAACGAUGGAUAAUACUGGAUAGGACAUCACAAAGGGCAUCCUUAGAUGUUUAAAGAUUAUUAUGUCACUUAGAGAGGGGCCUGCGGCGCAUUAGCUAGUUGGUGAGGUAAAAGCCCACCAAGGCGAUGAUGCGUAGCCGGACUGAGAGGUUGAACGGCCACAAUGGAACUGAGAACGGUCCAUACUCCUACGGGAGGCAGCAGUAGGGAAUUUUCGGCAAUGGGCGCAAGCCUGACCGAGCAACGCCGCGUGAACGAAGAAGUUAUUCGUAAUGUAAAGUUCUUUUAUCUGGGAAGAAAAAACAAAUUGACGGUACCAGAUGAGUAAGCUCCGGCUAACUACGUGCCAGCAGCCGC